ensembl:miRNA
ACCUGACUUUAUAGCACCUGCAUUGUACACACUGUGUGUAUUGACUGGAAAUGCACAGCGCAUACAAUGUGGAUUCUGUAGAAGUCACUC